rnacentral:rRNA from 1 species
UACGUAGGUGGCAAGCGUUGUCCGGAUUUACCGGGUGUAAAGGGCGUGCAGCCGGGCUGACAAGUCAGAUGUGAAAUCCCGCGGCUCAACCGCGGAACUGCAUUUGAAACUGUCAGUCUUGAGUACCGGAGAGGUCAUCGGAAUUCCUUGUGUAGCGGUGAAAUGCGUAGAUAUAAGGAAGAACACCAGUGGCGAAGGCGGAUGACUGGACGGCAACUGACGGUGAGGCGCGAAAGCGUGGGGAGCAAACAGG